rnacentral:rRNA from 1 species
UACGAAGGGGGCUAGCGUUGCUCGGAAUCACUGGCGUAAAGGGUGCGUAGGCGGUUUUAAGUCAGGGUGAAAUCCUGGAGCUCAACUCCAGAACUGCCUUUGAUACUGAAGAUCUCGAGUCCGGGAGAGGUGAGUGGAACUGCGAGUGUAGAGGUGAAAUUCGUAGAUAUUCGCAAGAACACCAGUGGCGAAGGCGGCUCACUGGCCCGGUACUGACGCUGAGGCACGAAAGCGUGGGGAGCAACAGG